rnacentral:rRNA from 1 species
GACGAACGCUGGCGGCGUGCUUAACACAUGCAAGUCGAACGAUGAAGCCGGAGCUUGCUCUGGUGAAUUAGUGGCGAACGGGCGAGUAACACGUGAGUAACCUGCCCUUGACUCUGGGAUAACUGCGGGAAACUGUAGCUAAUACCGGAUACGACCCUCGGAGGCAUCUCCUGGGGGUGGAAAGAAUUUCGGUCAAGGAUGGACUCGCGGCCUAUCAGCUAGUUGGUGAGGUAAAGGCUCACCAAGGCGACGACGGGUAGCCGGCCUGAGAGGGUGACCGGCCACACUGGGACUGAGACACGGCCCAGACUCCUACGGGAGGCAGCAGUGGGGAAUAUUGCACAAUGGGCGCAAGCCUGAUGCAGCAACGCCGCGUGAGGGAUGACGGCCUUCGGGUUGUAAACCUCUUUCAGCUAUGACGAAGCGCAAGUGACGGUAGUAGCAGAAGAAGGACCGGCCAACUACGUGCCAGCCGCCGCGGUAA